rnacentral:rRNA from 1 species
UACGUAGGGGGCAAGCGUUGUCCGGAUGUAUUGGGCGUAAAGCGCUCGCAGGUGGCCCGUCGCGUCGUGCGUGAAAGACCCCGGCUCAACUGGGGAGGGUCGUGCGAUACGGGCGGGCUGGAGGCCAGUAGGGGGAUGCGGAAUUCCGGGUGUAGUGGUGGAAUGCGUAGAGAUCCGGAGGAACACCAGCGGCGAAGGCGGCAUCCUGGACUGGUCCUGACACUCAUGAGCGAAAGCGUGGGGAGCGAUCCGG